GAAAGAUUCAUCGGAAGAGGAUGGGCAUGCGGCGCAUUAGCUAGACGGCGGGGUAACGGCCCACCGUGGCGACGAUGCGUAGGGGUUCUGAGAGGAAGGUCCCCCACACUGGUACUGAGACACGGACCAGACUCCUACGGGAGGCAGCAGUGAGGAAUAUUGGUCAAUGGGAGAGAUCCUGAACCAGCCAAGCCGCGUGAGGGAAGACGGCCCUAUGGGUUGUAAACCUCUUUUGUCGGAGAACAAAACCCGGGACGUGUCCCGGACUGCGUGUAUCCGAAGAAAAAGCAUCGGCUAACUCCGUGCCAGCGGCCGCGGUAAUACGGAGGAUGCGAGCGUUAUCCGGAUUUAUUGGGUUUAAAGGGUGCGUAGGCGGUCCGUUAAGUCAGCGGUAAAAUUGCGGGGCUCAACCCCGUCGAGCCGUUGAAACUGGCAGACUUGAGUUGGCGAGAAGUACGCGGAAUGCGCGGUGUAGCGGUGAAAUGCAUAGAUAUCGCGCAGAACUCCGAUUGCGAAGGCAGCGUACCGGCGCCAGACUGACGCUGAGGCACGAAAGCGUGGGGAUCGAACAGGAUUAGAUACCCUGGUAGUCCACGCAGUAAACGAUGAAU
rnacentral:rRNA from 1 species